AGCAUUUGGUGGUGUUCAGAGGAGGAGAGAAAGAGAUGAAGAGGAGUGAGCCAGGUUUCAGGAGGGGGCACGCAGGAGACCAGCCCUGGAUUCAGACUUGAGCCUGGUCCACACCAGAGGCCGAUAGAAGGCUUGGAUUACAGCAGGGGCAGGUUCUUUCACGAAAUCAAAUUUCUCCACUGAUUUCUGAAUUCAUAGCAAGCUAACUAGAAGAGAUUUUUAAUUCAGAAUGCUGCACUCCAAAAAACUGAGAAAGACAUUGAGGGAGGGAAUAUGGAAAUUUGAUGGUAUCUCGGCUAAGUUUGAUAUUGAGAUUUUUGUAAUAAAUGUUGUUGAAUAAAAAAGGCAUCAAGAUGCCUAAAUCAGAGAGAUAAAAUGAAGAAUAAUUACAGUAUACAAUUUUUGAAUUAUUGUCCAAUCAACUAAAAUUAGAAGUUUUUAACAUGCUAAAAUGGAAAGUUAUUCAACAGAAUGGAAUCCUUUAAAAUAUGAUGGAACUGCCACUUAAGCAUCAGAAGUCUGCUCAGGUGUGACCCUGGGAGCCCAAACUUUUCACGGAACAGCAAGGAACAUCCCUGUGCUCCUCCUUCCCAGUCUCUUUUUUUUUCAGAGGGAGUCUCGCUCUGUUGCCCAGGCUGGAGUGCAGUGGCGAGAUCUCAGCUCACUGCAAGCUCCGUCUCCCGGGUUCACGCCAUUCUCCUGCCUCAGCCUGCCGAGUAGCUGGGACAACAGGCGCCAGCCACCAUGCCCAGGCAUACAAAACCUGCCUUGCCUCUCCCCAGUUUGAACAGUGCUUUUGAACUUUGAUGGAAAAGCCACAUUUGGAAGCUGCAGCAUCCUCGGGAGACAGCUGGAUCAGCCAGAGAGCUUCAGAAAGACACACAUCACUCUGCCAGACACACACACUGCUCCAGCUCCAGCAUCCAACAUCUGACCACAUGUCGGCAGCCACUGCUGACCUGGCUCCACCAUUUCUCCCCAGGUCUAAGCUUAAGCCGCACUGCAUUGCUUCCAUUUCUUCAUGCUUGCUCUGUUCCCUUCUACCACAGGGGCUUUGUGCAAGCUCAGCCUCAACAUGGAUCUUCCCCCUUCUUCACCUGGUCAACAGCCACUCAUUCUUCAACCUUAGUUCGAGCAUCAUCAACCUCCCCCGCUAUGUCAGUUCUCCCUGUUAGACACCCUGGCUGUUCCACAUAUCUUUUAUUCAAAGUAGUUACAUAUUAAAGCAUUCCAUUUGUGCAUACAAUUAUUGUAGAAUUACUUCCCAGCAGACAGAUGCUAUAGGAGGGAAGAGACCUUUUCUGCUUAAGUAUCUAGUGCAGUGCCUGGCCCUUAAUAGGUGCUCAACAAAAAUUUUUAAAUGAAUGCUUAAAUACCAUAUCAUGGGUCAUGUCUGGUUGCAAAAAGAUAUUCAUCAUAAUAAAAAUAAUAAACUAUAAUUAAAAUAUACUCAUCAUCAUAAAAAUAAAUGAACUAGGCAGAUACUGGUGUUAAAGGUAUCACUGCCUUUAUUGUGGGCCAUUUUAGGAUGCAAGGCACAGUAGGGGUAAACAAUUAAGAGAGACUUCUGUAGUCUAGGAAUACAAGAGCUAGUAAAUAUAUAAUGUCUCCAGCAAGAGAAAGGAGGACAAGCAAGUCGGAGCAAGCUGCCCACUGGGGUGGGAGAAGGGAAUGAUAAAAGGGAGGAUUGGAAAUAUACACCAAAAUGCACCAUUCAUACAACGUUUCUAUUCACAACUCAGAAUUCACUGAACAAAAAAUGACCAUUCUGUAUACGAUUCCAAUUAAAUGCAUUAUUGUUGUAUCUGAUUGUGCUAGUGCCUGUCGCUAAUCCAUGCCACAAUGAUUCAUGCUUUAAAAAAAAAAAAAAAAAAAGAAGCAAUUGGUUAUAACAGCCACCACAGUGCAUUUCUAGAUAAGAGCUCAGUGACUGUUAAGGGGCACCUGCGUAAGAGCUCCAUUAACAAUGCUAGGCAAGGAAGAAAACCCCAGGGCAGAUGCCAGACGGAGCAAGAGACAAACAUGCAUUUAUUUUCCGUUUACUCCAGAUAACUCAUUAAAUUUCAAGGAAACUUCAGAAUUUAAAACUCACAGCAAUGUAAAGAACAGGAGGGGCAUCUUCAAUGGAGAAGAUACUUCAUCAAAUUUGGAAAGUGAAAGCAAAGGGAAAGUCUGACUAAAAUAACAUAGAGCAAGCUAUACCCUGGACUUCCUGCAAAGGGGGCUUCAGUGAGGGAGGGGCCCAUCUGCCUACAGAACUCAAGCAGGCACUGGCCUCAGGAGCCCCAGAUAACAGCCAGCUCCUGGACUUUUUAUUCCAGAAUGAACUCUACCAGUUGGAUCUUCCAGGCAAGCUUUUUAUCCUGUUCAUGCUAAAUAAAAACAACCACAAAGUGCCAGGCAUUUGAGGAAACCCUGCAAUGUGAAAGAGGAAAAAUAACAAACAGGGGAAACAAUUCCAGAAUAAAUAAAAAUAAUGAAGGGAAUAGAAGAGAAAUUACUAGGAAAAAAAAUUCCCAGAUCAGAAGCUCAGAUUUGGGUUGCUAUUUCAUUCAUAAAACAAAAACAGAAUAAUGCUGUAAAGAAGAAAUAAUUAGAGAACAAAAAAAGAAGUUUGAAAAGUAAACAAUUUGGAUUAUGAAAAUAAUAACAAUAGAAAGUGAAAUUUAUAAAAUCUGCCAAAUCACAGACCAAAAAAGUCGGGCAAUAGAAGAUAAAAGAGAUAGAGAACCACUCCUUGCGUCCUUAGCCACCACCCUUUGCUUGUUUUUCCAUUUUCCUUUCAUCUCUCGGAAUAUCUCAUCAGCUGAUAUCUAUUAGAGGAGAAGGGAAUUGUCCCCCAAGAGACUAAGUUCUGAGCAGAUGAAUGAAAAACGGCUACCUCAAGGCACAUCAGUGUGAAGUUUCAGAACACAAAGAGUUAGCAGAAGAUCCUAAAAGCUUCCAGUAGGAAAAAAUAAGAUAAAAGCUCACCUACAAAGAAACCAAAGCCAGACAGGCGUAGAAGGAACAUUUGCUGCUAGAAGGUAAUGGAACAAUGUGUACAAAAUUCUGUGAGAACUGAACAUCAACCUCAAAUUCUAAAUUCAACCCAACUCAAAUGUAAAGCCAAAUUAGAGAUUAAGACAUGCAAGCAUUCAAAGUAUAUCUCCACACACCUGUAAUCCCAGUACUUUGGGAGGCAGAGGCAGGCAGAUCACUU
rnacentral:lncRNA from 1 species